rnacentral:rRNA from 1 species
GACGAACGCUGGCGGCGUGCUUAACACAUGCAAGUCGAACGGAAAGACGCUGCGUUUGUGGGGUUCUCGUGAGGCGAACGGGUGAGUAAAACGUGAGUAUAAUGUACCUGACUUUGGGGUAUAUCCAGGAAAAUGGGGAGAUAACCGGGUAGAAUAUACUGCUGCAUGGGGGGGAUUGGAGAGUUUCGGCGGUGGUGGCUGGUCUGGAGGCUUAUGCGCUUGUUGGGGUGGUGGGGGCUGACAAAGGCUACGACGGGUAGCCGGCCUGAGAGGGUGGCCGGCCACAUUGGGACUGAGGUACGGAGCAGUCUGGUACGGGAGGCAGCAGUGGGGAGUAUUGCGGAGUGGGGGGGAGCGUGAGACGGCAACGCUGCGUGCGGGAUGACGGCCUUCGGGUUGUGAACCGCUGUCGCCGGUGACGAAGCGUGAGUGACGGUAAUGGGUAAAGAAGCACCGGCUAACUACGUG